UACGUAGGGUGCAAGCGUUAAUCGGAAUUACUGGGCGUAAAGCGUGCGCAGGCGGCUUUGCAAGACAGAUGUGAAAUCCCCGGGCUCAACCUGGGAACUGCAUUUGUGACUGCAAGGCUAGAGUACGGCAGAGGGGGAUGGAAUUCCGCGUGUAGCAGUGAAAUGCGUAGAUAUGCGGAGGAACACCGAUGGCGAAGGCAAUCCCCUGGGCCUGUACUGACGCUCAUGCACGAAAGCGUGGGGAGCAAACAGG
rnacentral:rRNA from 1 species